rnacentral:lncRNA from 1 species
AGCAACCGGCAACCUGCUUUCAGGACCCUUGUUUUUUAUGAGAGCUUUCGUUUACGCUUAAUAAAUUCUACUCCACUCACUCUUCGAUAUCCGCGUGCCCACUUCCUCCUGAUCGUGAGACAAGGACCCGGAUAUAGCUGAGCUUAGAAGCAAAAAUCCUGCAUCAAUAGCAAAUGCGGACACUGAACGACUAGCGGAGUACCCAGCGGCAAACUUUAGUUUUUGGUGCAGUUAAGCGCUUCCAGCGGUGCAGCAGCCGAGAAAACACUGAGUCUCCGCUAUUGGCGAAAGUGCUGAUGCGAAACUGCUGGCUCGACAUAGGCACAGAGCCGCGGAAGAGAACCCUAGAGACCAGGCACCAGCUCUGCUCCCCGACUCACGGGAGAAAGCUAGUUAGUAGGAAGCUGAGACAUGAUACUCAAAAUCAGUAGAAGAAAUUAUGCCACAUUUACUCUCCUGGGGAAGGCAGUGGGUAAGAAAAAAUAAAAUACAUAACAUUUACAUAAAAAAUAAAAUAAAUUUUUAAAGCAAACAGAAAUGAAAAUAAAAUACACCAGUAACCUCGCUCCCAGAAAAAGACACAUCAAAAAAAAUUUUUUUGAGUAUACAAAACAUACAAAUAACCCUACAAAGAAAUUGCAGUGUUGAACGAUGCGAUCCUACGGCUAUAUUUGUAUUAGCACUAAACCUGUGCCUCUUGCGCCUAUUCGAAAAUUCCUCGGAUUAAGAAGAAACAGCCAUGGCUAAACCGGUAUUUGCGACACCAAAAAGUUCCUGUAGCCUAGACACCUCAACUUCUGCAUGAGUGAAAAAUCACAAGCACAGCCAGGGCGAGAAUCUCUAUUGUGAAAUCACACUUGGUAUGACUAAAAGAUUUCAGGCACUGCUAAAUUUUUUUUUUAAUUACAUUCUCCAGUACCCAGAUUUCUACAAGACUUAAAAACCGUACGAACGGCUAUAAUGGGGGUUCCUAUUACAAAACAGGAACUUGCAACGACUACGUAGGCACGGUUAAAGCCAGCAUUGUUACAACUAGAAAUCGAAACUGGAAUAAAUCUCAACUUGCUACGCUAAGAAAUAGCUAAACCCUGACUUGGUCAGACUAAGAAAUCGGGAGUUUGAGAGCAGCCCGGGCAACAUGGCGAAACCCCGUCUCUACAAAAAAUUCUGGGUGUGGCGAUGGGGAGCCUGUAAUCCCAGCUGCUGGAAAGACUGAGGCGGGAGAAUUACUGGAGGUUGCAGUGAGCCGAGAUCGCACCACUGCACUCCAGCCUGGGAGACAAAAAUGGACAAACAAACCAACAAACAAAGUUAACAUUCUGAAUAGGUUUAUCAACAUAAAGACACUGCUAGCUAACAUUGGCUAGCCUCUCUAGAUCUGCUAGAGAUGUUUGCCUUUCUAGAUCUGCUUACCAUGCUUCAGUCACCUCUAUGUUGCAAGAAGUAACCUGCAUGGACUGCACUGGAGAGCUACUUUUGCUCCCAGGAUUCUGAUUGAGUUUAGGCACUGAAAGACACCAGCUGUUCAGAGAUAUGGAGUAGACCUUGCUUUGUUCCCCCUGGGCCUCAGUAUAUUGAAUUAUUUUACCUGAAGUCAAAAUUAGGCUGCACUGCGGCUCCAACAGUUCCAGCAGACACAGGGAGGGCAGCACUGAAAGGGCAACACUUCGUCCUGGACAUCUCAAAGUCCAGCCCCCGGUGAUCCCGGCAGCCAUCCGCCAGACCCUCUGAGGCCACAUCUGCCUCACUUCUCAACUGAGCCAUCUUCCCAGCAUAAACAGCCGCUGCUUCCUCCUCCUCCGCCCUCUCCUCACAUCCCCUGUGAAUCUGAAGCCUGCAGGCAGGAAAAAGCAGCCCUUUUUCCCUCCAACAUCCCCACCCUCACCUCUCAGGAGUAGAGUGUGCUUAGUGCGCCCCCAGCCCUGUCAGUUCUUCCGACUCUUAUUCCAACUCGGGAGCCCUCCCAGGCGCCUAUCCUAACUGGACCUUAGGGACCUUGAGUCUACUGAAGCCAGGAAGCCCACCCCUUGAAAACCUCCGGUGACUUCACAAGGAUACCCAGCCCCUAGUCGGGCAAGAGACCAUUCUCUGGGGAAAGAAAAUUCUGUGGUGGCUUGUAGGUUCCUCUUUCUUUUCUCUGACCUCUUUUCUCAGUUCUGCUCAUUUCACUCCUCUAGUGGGAAGACCUCAACCCUCCUCUCCCUUCCUCUACCCACUGUCAAGGUACACACACACACACACACACACACACACACACACACACAGACACAUCCACCUGGGGCUGCUCGACGUUUUCCUCCUCUGUCUUCCCUGGAGUCUUCCCUUGUCUUUCCUGUGCAGCAGAAGGUGGAUGGUGAUUCUCAUCCACCUUCAAUGCCCUAUACUCCCCACACGGAGGAGACACAUUGGUGAAAUAGGAUUGAUUUUUGUCCCCUGGUGGACCAGCAGAUGUCCUGGUUUCUGCCUCACACACCAAAGGAAGUGCUUGACUGCUUUUUUCAGCUUGGGUUAACCUGCUGAUCCAUCAGCAUAGCUUGUUACAGAUAUAAUCCAGGUUAUGUACGUGUGCUGGAGACAGCCACAUGCCACCCUGGAAGUCCCUCACGGCUCUUCCUGGUCUUCUUUUCUCAGCCAGGAGAUAGAGGAAAAGCGUCAGUGGGGCUGGGAAAUCAAUGACUGCCUGAGUUUCCUAACUUCCACAUCACUUCUGGAGCCAUGCCAGUUAGGGAUCUCACCAGUCCUUUAAUGUGCCCUGGGGGAGACCAUUGUAAUAGCACUUGAAAUCCCAGAGACAGCAAGGGUCCCACUGAAAGCACCUGGCACAGUAUUCUCUGGUAGAAUUUGGAAUCCAGUUUUCCAUUGACUGUUGUCAAUUUUGAAACCCAAAGAAAUCAGCACAUGUGCUGCUGCUCUUCUGGGAGGUCCAGCAGACACAGGGUCAAAUUCUGUAAAAUAGUUGAUGAGAUUUAUUGUGAACCAAAUGUGAGUGACCAUUAGCCCAUGAAACAGCCAUCAGGAGAUCCUGAGAACAUGUGCUUCAGGUGGUCAGUGCACAACUUGGUUUAUAUAUAUUUUAGGAAGUCAUGAGAUCAAUACAUUUAAGGUGUUGUACAUUGGUUCAGUCCAGAAAGGCAGUACAACUGGAAGCAUGAUCUUUCAAGUUGGAGAGGUUCAAAAAUUUUAUGAUUGGCAAUUUGUUGCAAUAACUAUUAUCUCUAGAAAGGAAUGCCUGGGUUGCCAUAAGGUGUUCCAGAGACAAAGGUGUCGCAGAUGAAGCCUCCAGGUGGAAGACUUCAGAGAGAUAGAUUGUAAAUGUUUCUAACCAGACUUAAAGAGUCUGUUCUAUCAAUAAUUUUAAAAGAGAGGAGAAUAUAAUGAGGCAUGUCUGACUCCCCCUUCCCAGCAUGGCUUGAAACUACUUUUUCAGUCUAACUUUGGAAUGCCCUUGGCGGAGAAGAGGGGUCCAUUCAGAUGUUGGUGGCAGGGGGCUUCAAAUUUUAUUUUUGGUUUACAAUAGCAAUGAAGUAAUAACCACAUUCAAGUUUAGUAAAUGAGUGAGCCCUCAUCUACUAUGGUUAUGUUUGUGUCCUGGUCUGAAAACCAAUUUUUUUUUUUUAUUGUUUUCUGGAAUUAUUCCUGGACAUGAGGACUCUACCUGUCAGAGUUCAGUUAGGAAAAGAAACCAAAGCAGCCCACACCGUGAGAGCCAAGCUAAUGUGCUGCCAUCCCACUGCCAAGCCAUAACCAGAAUGACUGUUCAUCUUUUUAUUGCCUCAUGUCCCACUAAGCCUGCCUACCAUUGUGACCCUGUUGGUAAGGCAAAUUUAGAAAUGGAGGUUUUAGGAGUCCAGGCCCACAACUCAAGGGAGGAAACAAAAAGGCAUAAAUGUGCCUAACCACGAAGAAUAAACACAGUAAAAUAAUAACUAAAUGUGUUUUAAAAGCUAAAUUUUAAAGAUGUUUUUUUGGGUGGGGGAGAUGGAGUCUUGCUCUGUUGCCCAGGCUGGGGUGCAGUGGCGGGAUCUCAGCUCACUGCAACCUCCGCCUCCCAGGUUCACACCUUUCUCCUGCCUCAGCCUCCCAAGUAGCUGGGACUACAGGCGCCCGCCAACAUGCCCGGCUAAUUUUUUUGCAUUUUUAAUAGAGAUGGGGUUUCACCGUGUUGGCCAGGAUGGUCUCGAUCUCCUGACCUUGUGAUCUGCUCGCCUCGGCCUCCCAAAGUGCUGGGAUUACAGGCGUGAGCCACCGCGCCCAGCCUUUUUUUUUUUUUUUUUUUUUUGAGACAGAGUUUUGCUCUUGUUGCCCAAGCUGGACUGCAGUGGCGCAAUUUUGGCUCACGGCAAUCGCUGCCUCCCGAUUCAAGCGAUUCUCCUGCCUGAGCCUCCCGAGUAACUGGGAUUACAGGCAUGCGCCACCAUGCCUGGCUAAUUCAGUAGAGAUGGGGUCUCAUCAUGUUGGUCAGGCUGGUCUUGAACUCCUGACCUCAGGUGAUCUGCCUGCCUCGGCCUCCCAAAGUGCUGGGAUAACAAAUGACUUCUUUUAACACAAAAACCCAAUGUACUAUCACUGUACUAACUACAAGAUUAGACAACAAAAAAACCAUUUUAUUACAUGACACUAUGCCAUAGGCAAUGAGUUCCUCUAAUUGAGCACAGUUUAAAAGUUGAGACAUGACCAUUUUCAUUUGCAUCCAUGAAGCUCUGUGGCUGUAUGUAUAAUCUCAAUUGGAGGAAAAAUCUAACAUCUACAUUUGAGGCUCAUGAGUCUGAGGCCUUGUUCGAUUGGCCCUCCUGUGGAUAUCCCCUCGCCCCACUGGCCCCAAGCCUACACAUCUUAUUAGAUUUGAGCUUAGUCCUCUGAGUGGGGUCUUGGAACCAGGAGCCUGGCUCUUGGAAUAUCUCCAUUAAUGUUUGCUGAGUUUUUAAAUACAUUUUUUCAAAAGUAGGGAUUAGAGGAUAGCAGUUAGGUUCUAAUGAGAGAAAAGAGAUUGAAAAUGUGAACGGGGUUUCCAAAUGCUGCUCCACUUAUUUUUUAGAUAUCAGACUCUGCAAUCCCCUUCCUACAUUUAUCCCUGCAUGGCAAUUUUUACCAAGUGCUUCAAUAAUAUAAUCCAACUUACAAAUAUUUAUAAUAUUCACCUGAAUUCAAUAUUGUGAACUUAAGAGCCAUAUGUCUUCAAUAACCCCUUAACAGCCAUCUGAUUAUGAUUCAAAUCCAGGAAUUCUAAUUCAUUCUGGAAGCAGAUACCUCUCAGAUCCACUCUGAGUAUACUCAAGUCCCCCACAGCUUUACUCUAAAGGAGGCAAAAGUUACAGCUGAACUAGAAACAUCUGAGCCAUUCCAGAUUCUUCAGCCUAGCAAGGUUAAAGUCAGACCUUGAAAACAAUUGAGUUCACUGGGGUCCAGUAUCUGGACCUUUUAUGCCAUAUAUUCGUAUAUCCACUUUCCUAUUUUGAAAUACAAAGCAGCACCAAAUUCAUACAAAUCUUUUCUUUCCCCACCUUCAGACAGAGUCUCCCUCUGUGGACCAGGCAGGAGUGCAGUGCCACAAACAGGGCUCACUGCAGUCUCAACAUCCUGGACUUAAACAAUCCUCUCACCUCAGCCUCCACAGUAGCUGGCAGCAAGGUGCAUGCCACCACCUUGGGUUAAUAUUUUUUAUUUUUUUGUAGAGAUGGGGUCUCCCCAUGUUGCCCAGGGUGGUCUCAGACUCCUGAGCUCAAGCAGUCCUCAACUUCA